rnacentral:rRNA from 1 species
GACGAACGCUGGCGGCGUGCUUAACACGUGCAAGUCGAACGGAAAGGCCCUGCUUUUGUGGGGUGCUCGAGUGGCGAACGGGUGAGUAACACGUGAGUAACCUGCCCUUGACUUUGGGAUAACUUCAGGAAACUUGGGCUAAUACCGGAUAGGAGCUCCUGCUGCAUGGUGGGGGUUGGAAAGUUUCGGCGGUUGGGGAUGGACUCGCGGCUUAUCAGCUUGUUGGUGGGGUAGUGGCUUACCAAGGCUUUGACGGGUAGCCGGCCUGAGAGGGUGACCGGCCACAUUGGGACUGAGAUACGGCCCAGACUCCUACGGGAGGCAGCAGUGGGGAAUAUUGCACAAUGGGCGGAAGCCUGAUGCAGCAACGCCGCGUGCGGGAUGACGGCCUUCGGGUUGUAAACCGCUUUCGCCUGUGACGAAGCGUGAGUGACGGUAAUGGGUAAAGAAGCACCGGCUAACUACGUG